GACGAACGCUGGCGGCGUGCCUAAUACAUGCAAGUCGAGCGAAGGUUUUCUGGUGCUUUCACUAGAAAAACUUAGCGGCGAACGGGUGUGUAACACGUAAAGAACCUGCCUCAUAGGCUGGGACAACUAUUGGAAACGAUAGCUAAUACCGGAUAACAGUAUUUCUCGCAUGAGAGAUAUUUAAAAGUUGGUUAUGCUAACACUAUGAGAUGGCUUUGCGGUGCAUUAGCUAGUUGGUGGGGUAAAGGCCCACCAAGGCGACGAUGCAUAGCCGACCUGAGAGGGUGAUCGGCCACACUGGGACUGAGACACGGCCCAGACUCCUACGGGAGGCAGCAGUAGGGAAUCUUCCGCAAUGGGCGAAAGCCUGACGGAGCAACGCCGCGUGAGUGAAGAAGGAUUUCGGUUCGUAAAGCUCUGUUGUUAGGGAAGAAUGGCUAUGUAGUAACUAUCCAUGUAAGAGACGGUACCUAACCAGAAAGCAACGGCUAACUACGUG
rnacentral:rRNA from 1 species